GAUGAAGAACGUAGCGAAAUGCGAUAAGUAAUGUGAAUUGCAGAAUUCAGUGAAUCAUCGAAUCUUUGAACGCACAUUGCGCCCGCCAGUAUUCUGGCGGGCAUGCCUGUUCGAGCGUCAUUUCAACCAUCAAGCCCUGGGCUUGUGUUGGGGACCUGCGGCUGCCGCAGGCCCUGAAAUGCAGUGGCGGGCUCGCAAGACACACCGAGCGUAGUAGCUUACAACCUCGCUUUGGGAGUGCUGCGGGUGCUGGCCGUAAAGCGACCUUUGCGUCUUUAGCACUAGGUUGACCUCGGAUCAGGUAGGAGGACCCGCUGAACUUAAGCAUAUCAAUAAGCGGAGGA
rnacentral:misc_RNA from 1 species